UCCCCUGGAGAUUUGUUAAUAUGCAGCUUCUGAUUCAGUGGGAGCCUUAGACUCUGCAUUUCUAACAACUUCCCACAUGGUG
rnacentral:pre_miRNA from 1 species